CGGCUGUGGCGAGGCCGGGCGCUAGUGCUCGGGGGACGCGUUCUCGGCGGGCGGCGGCGGCUCGGCCAGAGACGGGCGGGGUCGGAGCGAGAUGGAGCCGUGACCAGUGACUAGGGGGAGAGCUGCUGGCAUGGAAGUGAGCUGGGUUUGUCCGUGGGCACUGUGAGCAAGGUAGCCAUCACGAAAGCCAAAGUGGAUUUCUCCGGU